rfam:Streptomyces cattleya DSM 46488 plasmid pSCATT, complete genome.
CUUCACCGACCCCAACAACAACGGCCGAUCCGCCGCGCGGUCCCGCCCAUACGUAGCCAGCAACGCCUGCGCCUC